rnacentral:rRNA from 1 species
CCUACGGGUGACAGCAGUGGGGAAUAUUGGGCAAUGGACGCAAGUCUGACCCAGCAACGCCGCGUGAAGGAAGAAGGUCUUCGGGUUGUAAACUUCUUUUCUGGGGGAAGAGCAGAAGACGGUACCCCUUGGAUUAGGCCCGGCUAACUACGUGCCAGCAGCCGGGGUAAUACGUAGGUGGCAAGCGUUUUCCGGAUUUACUUGGUGUAAAGGGCGGGCAGCGGGAUAGACAAGUCAGAUGUGAAAUCCACGGGCUCAACCCGUGAAAUUCAUUUGAAACUGUUUCCCUUGAGUGUCGGAGGGGUAAUCGGAAUUCCUUGUGUAGCGGUGAAAUGCGUAGAUAUAAGGAAGAACACCAGUGGCGAAGGCGGAUUACUGGACGAUAACUGACGGUGAGGCGCGAAAGCGUGGGGAGCAAACAGGAUUAGAUACCCCAGUAGUC